GCCCAAAUAGAGAAAUGGUUAACUCGUCGGCCUCCUAAAAGGUAAAAAGCCGAAGAUUCCCGGUUCGAGUCCGGGUUUGGGUG